rnacentral:tRNA from 1 species
GCCUAGCUGGCUCAGUUGGCAGAGCAUAGGACUCUUGACUUUGGGGUUGUGAGUUCUAACCUCAUGUUGGGGG